ACUGAACGCUGGCGGCAUGCUUUACACAUGCGAGUCGAACGGCAGCGCGGGCUUCGGCCUGGCGGCGAGUGGCGAACGGGUGAGUAAUACAUCGGAACGUGCCCAGUAGUGGGGGAUAGCUCGGCGAAAGCCGGAUUAAUACCGCAUACGACCUGAGGGUGAAAGCGGGGGAUCUUCGGACCUCGCGCUAUUGGAGCGGCCGAUGGCAGAUUAGCUAGUUGGUGGGGUAAAGGCCUACCAAGGCGACGAUCUGUAGCUGGUCUGAGAGGACGACCAGCCACACUGGGACUGAGACACGGCCCAGACUCCUACGGGAGGCAGCAGUGGGGAAUUUUGGACAAUGGGCGAAAGCCUGAUCCAGCAAUGCCGCGUGUGUGAUGAAGGCCUUCGGGUUGUAAAGCACUUUUGGCGGGAACGAAAAGGAUUGUGCCAAUACCACGGUUCGAUGACGGUACCCGCAGAAUAAGCACCGGCUAACUACGUG
rnacentral:rRNA from 1 species